rnacentral:lncRNA from 1 species
AUCUUCAACCGGUUUGGAUGGCGGCAUAUUAAUAGGAUAGGUGUUUAGUCAUCUUGAUCUUUUAGCCACUCCAGGCUGCGGCGCGAUGUUCGCCAUGUAUCUUUUUUUCUCCUUUUUUUAUACUCUGUAUUUUCUGAAUACUCAGUUUGAUUAAUAUAUGGCUGUAUGCAUCACUCGAUGCAGAGGCCGGGGCAAGGCCUCCUUU